AGAGCGAACGCUGGCGGCAUGCCUAAUACAUGCAAGUCGAACGAACUCUUCGGAGUUAGUGGCGCACGGGUGCGUAACGCGUGGGAAUCUGCCCCUUGGUUCGGAAUAACAGUUGGAAACGACUGCUAAUACCGGAUGAUGACGAAAGUCCAAAGAUUUAUCGCCAAGGGAUGAGCCCGCGUAGGAUUAGCUAGUUGGUGAGGUAAAGGCUCACCAAGGCAACGAUCCUUAGCUGGUCUGAGAGGAUGAUCAGCCACACUGGGACUGAGACACGGCCCAGACUCCUACGGGAGGCAGCAGUAGGGAAUAUUGGACAAAUGGGCGAAAGCCUGAUCCAGCAAAUGCCGCGUGUGUGAAGAAGGCCUUCGGGUUGUAAAGCACUUUUUGUACGGGAAGAAAAGCCGUUAGGUUAAUACCCGAUGGUGAUGACGGUACCGUAAGAAUAAGCACGGCUAACUUCGUGCCAGCAGCCGC
rnacentral:rRNA from 1 species